AGUGAACGCUGGCGGUAGGCCUAACACAUGCAAGUCGAACGGCAGCACAGUAAGAGCUUGCUCUUACGGGUGGCGAGUGGCGGACGGGGGAGGAAUACAUCGGAAUCUACUUUUUCGUGGGGGAUAACGUAGGGAAACUUACGCUAAUACCGCAUACGACCUACGGGUGAAAGCAGGGGAUCUUCGGACCUUGCGCGAUUGAAUGAGCCGAUGUCGGAUUAGCUAGUUGGCGGGGUAAAGGCCCACCAAGGCGACGAUCCGUAGCUGGUCUGAGAGGAUGAUCAGCCACACUGGAACUGAGCCACGGUCCAGACUCCUACGGGAGGCAGCAGUGGGGAAUAUUGGACAAUGGGCGCAAGCCUGGUCCAGCCAUACCGCGUGGGUGAAGAAGGCCUUCGGGUUGUAAAGCCCUUUUGUUGGGAAAGAAAAGCAGCAGGUUAAUACCCCGCUGUUCUGACGGUACCCAAAGAAUAAGCACCGGCUAACUUCGUG
rnacentral:rRNA from 1 species